AUUGAACGCUGGCGGCAUGCCUUACACAUGCAAGUCGAACGGCAGCACGGGAGCAAUCCUGGUGGCGAGUGGCGAACGGGUGAGUAAUACAUCGGAACGUGCCCAGUAGUGGGGGAUAGCCCGGCGAAAGCCGGAUUAAUACCGCAUGAGACCUGAGGGUGAAAGCGGGGGAUCGCAAGACCUCGCGCUAUUGGAGCGGCCGAUGUCAGAUUAGCUAGUUGGUAGGGUAAAGGCCUACCAAGGCAACGAUCUGUAGUUGGUCUGAGAGGACGACCAGCCACAAUGGGACUGAGACACGGCCCAGACUCCUACGGGAGGCAGCAGUGGGGAAUUUUGGACAAUGGGCGCAAGCCUGAUUCAGCAAUGCCGCGUGCAGGAAGAAGGCCUUCGGGUUGUAAACUGCUUUUGUCAGGGAAGAAAUCUUCUGGGCUAAUACCCUGGGAGGAUGACGGUACCUGAAGAAUAAGCACCGGCUAACUACGUGCCAGCCGCCGCGGUAACA
rnacentral:rRNA from 1 species